rnacentral:sRNA from 2 species
CUGCGGACUGCGUCAACCGGGCAUGGCGGCGCCGAUGAACAGGAAGUCUUUUUCCCGGUUUCUCUUCCUGGCCAACGAAUAGGCAGACGAGCAUCUCACCCGCCCGGUCC